UACGUAGGGGGCGAGCGUUGUCCGGAGUUACUGGGCGUAAAGGGCGUGCAGGCGGUGCGGUAAGUUUAGAGUGACAGUCUUCGGCUUAACUGGAGAAGGCCUCUGAAAACUGCCGGACUUGAGGGCCAGAGAGGGACAUAGAAUUCCGGGUGGAGUGGUGAAAUGCGUGAGAUAUCCGGGGGAAUACCAAACGGGCAAGGCAGUGUCCGUG
rnacentral:rRNA from 1 species